ACAGAUGUAUGUCAUCUCUGAAGUACACUGAGAAAGUACACAGAACAAAAAUAAUUUUGAUUUUCUUUUUUGGGGAGGGUAAGUUAAUUACCGACUACUUCAGGUUCUCAGUUGUUCAUACAAAACUUCUGGGGUAGCACCCCAUAACCAUCACCAAUUUUUCUGGUACAAAAUGGUGACUCUUCACUAAAUGAAACCAUACAUUGGCCUCUUGUCUAUUCAGCUCCUUUUCCUGCUCCCCAAAUUUAAAGCAAGCUAAGUGAAAAGCCAUUAUACAGAGGGAGUAGGAGCCUGCCAGUCUGUAUUUUUGUGAUGAGAUGUGCUAGCUUCAGCUUUAAGGAUGCUACAGAGAGUUGAGAUGAGUUCUCUGAAAAUGGAGUAAAAAAGCGAUUUUUUUGUAUUGCUUUGUCUUCUAGUGUUGGCGAUGGUGGACACAUUCAGCCCCGGUACAGGGAGUUUCCCCAGCUUACCCAGUCCCAGGUGAUCCAUGGUGAGGUCUUAAGCUCACUCAUGUGGUUCUGGAUUCUUUGGAGAUUUUGGCAUGACUCGGAUGCUGUGCUGGGUCACUUUUCAUAUCCAGAUCCAUCGAAGUGGACAGAUGAAGAACUGGGGGUCCCUCCUGACGACGAGGACUGAAAGUGUAAACUCCUCUCUGUACGAGAGCAAGGUGAGACAAUUCAAGAAAUUACAGCCCUCAUUAAAGGUGUAAAUUAAAGUGGCUUGCCAAAAUGAGGAACCGAGUUCUGUUUCUGAUGACAAGUGUCCUUUAUUUCCUAUUCUCUAACUGCUUGCUGGUCCAAGUGGUUUGUGCCCUUUCAGCUGAUCCUCUUGGGUCCCCUGGGAUGUAGGUAGGUAUUCUCUGAGGCUAUCAAAGAACAGAUGGUUCCUUGCUAAGCAUCACACACUGCAUAGUUAGGUUACGUUGUGCUUAUACAUAUAAGGACCAUGCCUCCGCCACGUGUGCCCACAGGUGAUGUGACCAUUGGAUGUGACCAAUCCAGCUUGAUUGUUGCCCCAGAGGUUAGGGGUCAGGAGAGUCCAUUGCUUUCAAGUAGCCUCUGGUAGGACUCAGUCACACCUGACUUAGAUAAAGUUUUCUGUUUUUUUCUAAAAUGUUGUUCCAAAGUUCCCUUCCACUUUCUGUGGCACCAGAGCAGUUAUGAGGAAGUCCUCCAUCUACAGAGAAAAGUCUGCUGUCAGGUACCUAAUCACUCAUCAGGUCGGUCACUUUGGCCAUCGGAACAGUGCCAGGAUUGGGGGUGGGAUGGAGUUCACACCUAUAAUGUCAGCCUUAUGAAGAGUGAGGCCAGGGGAUGACAACCUGUCUCAAAAUCACCCAGACAAAAAGAUUUUUUUAGAGUACUUUAAGAAGGAAUGACAGGUGGUAAGUCAGCAAUCAGAAUUGUGAGAGAAGUCCACUGGAUGCUGUGGUAGGGCAGUGCCUUAGGGUUUCCACUGCUGUGAACAGACACCAUGACCAAGGCAACUCUUACAAAGGACGACAUUUUUUUUUUCUUUUUCUUUUUUUCGGAGCUGGGGAUCGAACCCAGGGCCUUGCACUUGCUAGGCAAGCGCUCUACUGCUGAGCUAAAUCCCCAACCCCAAAGGACGACAUGUAAUUGGGGCUGGUUUACAGUUUCAGAGGUUCAGUCCAUUAUCAAGGUGGGAAGCACGGCUUCCAGGCAGACAUGGUGCUGGAGGAGGAGCUGAGGGAUCUACAUCUUGAUCUGAAGGCAGCAGGAGACUGUGUGCCGUUCUGGACAUAGCUUGAGCACUGGAGACCUCAGAGCCUACCCCACAGUGACACAUUUCCUCUAACAAGGCCAUACCUCCUAAUAGUGCAACUCCUCAUGGGCCAUACAUUCAAACACAAGAGUCUGGGUCCAAACCUUUUCAUAUUACAGAUGAUUUAGCUGUACUGAGUAAGUAAGGUCUAUAGAAGGUAUGUUUAAGAACAAAAUGACUUACCAAGGUCUAGAGGAAGAUAAGGUUCUGUUUGAGAGACUGUCUGAGGCGGCUGUGGACAAGGAAGGAAAGAGUGGGACUAGGUGGUAAUUGUAAGCUUCCGUCAGUCAUUACGUAUCCCCAACCAACUUGUGGCAGGCUUCAUACUGUAAUACGACAGGUUUUCCUAUAACACAGAUAACUACUUCCUUUUCUUCGGUUACCACAGAGACCACAGUAGCAGUAGAAGCUGAAGUAAGUGGACAGCUGCCUUUCUCACUGGCAGAGUCCUAGCUAUAGCACUAGGGACAUGUCCAUGCGGCUGUGUUCCCAUCUGUGUGAGUGUGAGCAAACUCAACCAGUCCAGCAGAGGGGUUCUCACUCACGGCAGUAGAGCCACUUAAAGUCACAACAGUGAGUUCAAGCAGGAUAAUCCCGGUAGUUCUUUACCUUAAAGGCAAAAAACAGUAGAGUUAUGGGAAGAUGGGGUGGAAAUUUGCCAAGCUCUUCCUGUUAGUAGAAAAAAAAACAAAAAAAACAAAACCAAACAACAAAACAUGGCCAGUGGCUGCAUUCCAAACUGGUUUACCUACCUACUUGUGAGUCUCCAUGUACAACCUGAGAGAUAAAGCACUUCAAGCUCUGGGGGUGUUACCAGGUGUGACCCUAAGUCUGUUUUACUUGCUCUUAGUGUGGGGAAGUACUCAACUUUAAUCUUGUGCCUUAAUUUAUUCCUCAUUUGUAAAACAGUUUAGACUAUGCCCAGCAGGAAGGGAAUAUUCUCUAAACCAGUGGUUCUCAACUUUCCUAAUGCUGCAGCCCUUUAAUAGGAUUAUUCAUGUGGUGACCCUCAGCCACAGAAUUUUUUCACUGCCACUUCAUAACUGUAGUUUUGCUACUGUUGAUUUGUAAUGCAAAUAUCUGUAUUUUCCUGAUGUUUUUGAUGACCCCUAUGAAGGGGUUGUCCGACCCCUCAAAGGUCGAGAACCCAUAUAGGUCAAGGACCACUACUCUAAAUAAAAGCAACGGUUUACUUUUGUGACGAAUAUUUUUAGAAUAUUUCAUCUAACAUUUCUGACCACCCUGGGAUCGUGGCGUGACUUUUGCAGGAACAGGAUGGCUCUGUUUUACUACUACCUUGCCAUCUGCAGGAUACAAGUGUGUACUGUCAGGGAACCAUGAGCAGCCCAAGCUGCUGUGAGGACCUAAGGAGCCUCCACUUGCUGUCAUUUUCUCUGACUUACCUGAUUGAUAAGGACAGCAAGUGCAAGUGCAGCACUGUCUGGCAAACAUCCUCUUCUGGGAAGUCAACACUCUAGGUUUCAUUACAAACCAAUUGUGUAUUGAUGGGUUCUGACUGCUUAGGUAAGGCACAGCCUUCAGUUUCCUGGGAUGAAGGCUCUCUUUCUAAUGACUCUCAGCUAGUAUUGUGAGUUUGGGAGAUAUUCAAUCCAGGCAGUAAGAUACACUGAUCACAGCCCUUUAGAAGAGCUGGCAUGAUAGAGAUCUUUGUGAAGGCAUUUUGAAAGGUAAAUAAAACAUCUGCUUUUUAUUGGACACUUAUUUACAUUUCAAAUGUUAUCCCCUUUCUCCUCUGCAAACCCCCUAUCCCAUCCCCCAUGCCCCUGCUUCUAUGAGGGUGCUCCCAUACCCACCCACCCACUCCCACCUCACCGCCCUGGCAUUCCCCUACACUGGGGCAUCGAGCUCACAGGACCAAGGAUUUCUCCUCCCACUGAUGUCAGAUAAGGUCAUCCUCUGCUACAUAUGCAGCUGGAGCCAUGCAAACCAUUCAUAUUCUGGAGAUGAGUUGUAUGGAAAACUUCCAUGUAUGAUACAUAGAAAAAUAACUUUUGUAAUUAGACAUGGUCAUUUAGGAAGCCAGUUUGUAAAUACAGAAUAGGUUUUUUUCAGCUGAGGAAACUGUAGUUCAGAAAUGCUAAGUCCUGACAGUAUGUGUAGGUUGGAGAGGCACACACAAUGGAAAGGUCAGAAGUAGAUCCCUCAGGCCGUGCCCUCCUGCCAAAUACCCUUCGCACUGUUCUUGGGGUUCCCAGGGAUGGCGCUUUAUUUAUUUAUUUAUUUUUAAAAAGAUUUAUUUUUAUAAAGAUUUAUCUUUAAAAAGAUUUAUAUUUAACGUAUAUGCACUGUCACUAUCUUCGGACACACCAGAAGAGGGCAUCAGAUCCCACUACAGAUGGUUGUGAGCCACCAUGUGGUUGCUGGGAAUUGAACUCAGGACCUCUGGAAGAUCAGUCAGUGCUCUUAACCGCUGAGCCAUCUCUCCAGCCCCCAGGGAUGGCGCUUUAAAGCUAUCUUUUUUUCUGGAAACUGUCUACUAGGUUGAUGUAUUUUAUCCAAAGUUAUUUCAAGUGUUUUUCAAAAUAAAAGAUUCUGAAAUUAAAUGCAUAAAGUUGAUGGGUUAACCAGCACCGAGUGAGCACAGUUGUUCACUUUCAGAUGUGUUUGUGGACAAAAAUCUGUACUAUAGAAAGGCUGUGAUUGCAAGCUGGGUCACAAGGGGAAAACAGUUCUGAGAUCAUUUCUACACAUCCACUUGCUUUAAAAUUUUAAAUUAGACCUUCAACUGUGUGUUUACACAGAGAACAGUUACUUUAAACCAAAUAUGCAGGUCACAACACUGUUAAAUGUUUGAGGGUCUUUCUUCACCAAAACUGGAUGAAAAGUCUACUCCAAGCUGGCUUUACUUUACCAUGCAGGAAUCUGGCCAACUUUAACUCCACCCAUCAAGGAACCAUCAGCAUUGUGAAACCAUGUGUGCAUUUUAGCCUGGAAAUGACUGGCAGCAGCUGGUGCCUUCUAUUAUUGGAUGGCAAUGCUAGAAAAAUAAUCUUAAGGUUUCUCCAUGCAGUCAAUCUUUAUUAUAGCAGUAUUCGCAUAUUCACAUCAAUUACAUAGCACUUUUUUGGGGGCCUUUUUUUUUUUAUAAUACAGAGUUUUUAAAUAACUUUACACAGAAAUAAAUUUCUUCAAUUUG
rnacentral:lncRNA from 1 species